rnacentral:lncRNA from 1 species
CCCAUGCCCGACCCGCGGGUGCCGGAGAUCUGACUCACCGUCCCCCUCCGGGCUUAGCCGGCGGAGGUGGGGCGGGUGCCGCAGAGGUAGCCAAGCAGCCCCUGCGCGCCUCCGGCCUGGCCCAGCGACCUCCUCUCCGGCCUGCAGUUACCCGGUCCCCUCCCGCCACCACCCGCUACCCGACCACCUCCGAGUCCGCCUGGGGUGGCCGAACGUAUGGAGCUGGGCUCCAGGGUGCACGAGGAUGGGGGAUGAGGAGCGGGGCGUUCUCCCUCCCAGCACCCCCCAGCUGACUGUGCCCGGAGAGGGUGUGUGAGCUGGAACCUCCAGCAUUCUCGGGGAUACGAACUUCCAACGCUGGGCAGCCUCUUAAGGCUUCUAGGAAUUCGCAUCCUCCGCGCCCCCGCCAGCGGAUCGGUUGCGAGAGGGACCGUUCGGGCCCGCGGGGCCGGGAAUGGAGGUGGGAGGGCGGGGCCGAGGCGGCGGCCGCCUGCGGACUGGGGACCCGGGAGGACGGACGCGGACGCGGGCUGCUAGUCUUUUACAGCUCUUCAGCGCCCACCACUACCCACCCCUCUAGAAGACCCCGGGCGAUGGUGGGGCUCUUGGGCAUUCUGAGACUGCGCUUGGUGGAGCCCCCUACUGGCCCGACCGGAUUUCUCAGCCUGCGACUCAGCCCCAGGCUACGCGAAAGAGGCCGGACCCGGAUCAGAAGCAGCAGUGAAGAUUCCAGGACCACGGAACGAGAAUCAACGUAAGGCAUCCAGGGAGCAGAGUGCUCUGGGAUUUGCUUGACCUCGAAAGAUCCCAUAUGGUUCCUCUCUCUGGGAUUGAUGAACUCCAUUUUUUACUGCCCACCUGGCCUCUGACUCAUGGUUGCCCACACUCUAUGCCCUGCCUCCUUGGUCCUGGCAUCCUGCCUGGUCGCUGCUGCUUGUGGCCUGGUCAUGGCGAGGACACCCCGAGGCGCUGUGUGUGCUUUGGGCCUGACUAGGAAGCAGCAGGAAAGCGCUGACAUUCUUCCAG